UCUAUUAGGUCCUCUUCACAAUCACGCCUCUCACUCUCAGUCUCUCACUCUCUCUCUCUCUCUCAGUCAUGAAAAAUUACUGUUGCUGACAAGAUCGAACUUGUGCCGAAGAUAGAACUUCGAAUUGAGCCAAAAAUUCGACUUGGAGUCUACUCCCAGAAGAAUUGAAGAUCGAAUUCGAAGGUCAAAAAUUUCAGUCUGAUGUCAAUGGAAAUAAAAAGGGUAAUAAACAAGAAAAGGAACGAUUUCAUUUGCAUAGACCCAACUGCUAUUCUCUAUUUAGUUUAUGUAAUUCAUUGUGUAUGUGUUAUUUGUGGUGCUCGUCGACUUUUAUCAGUUAUUUGUGAGCAAUAUUUGAUUUUGAUGUAAUGGGUUUGCUGUUUUUUUUACUUUUGUAGUAUGGAUUGUGUGAAUUUCUGUGAGUUUAGCUAAACAUGAUUAAUUAUACUGUUACUUUGGAUUUUUUACUAUUCUAUUUGUGCUA